rnacentral:rRNA from 1 species
AUGGACACGGGCGCUACGAAUCAUCUGAUAGGCGAGAUGGGCAAACUCUCCAUGCAAGAACCAUACCGUGGACAUGAUCAGAUUCACACCGCCAAUGGAGCAGGUAUGCACAUAUCACAUGUUGGUCAGGCCUCUCUCUUAACUCGCACACAAAAAUCUCUUCAUCUACAUAAUGUUCUUAGAGUUCCUUCUACUACUCAUAGCUUAUUAUCUGUUCCUCAACUUACUCGUGACAACAAUGUUUUCACUGAGUUUCAUCCUUUUUAUUUUUUUAUCAAGGAUCGGCCCACGAGGGACGUUCUGCUUAGAGGUCGCCUGCGUGAUGGACUUUAUGCACUUGAUCUGCCAUCUGCUCCUCGAGCGUUCAGCGGUGUCCGUGUUUCGCCCACUCAUUGGCAUGCACGGCUUGGUCAUCCUGCCACUCCCAUAGUUCGUAGUAUUCUACAUAGUCAUAGUCUUCCCAUUGUGUCCAAUAAAGAUGAUGCCAUAGUCUGUGAUGCCUGUCAGCAAGGCAAGAGUCAUCAGCUUUCGUUUUCGGAUUCGAGUCGUGUCAUUAAAACUCCACUUGAGCUUAUUUUUUCUCAUGUAUGGGGGCAUGCCCCAACUUCUGUGAGUGGUCAUAAUUAUUAUGUCAGUUUUAUUGAUACUUAUAGUUGA